rnacentral:rRNA from 1 species
UACGGGGGGGGCAAGCGUUGUUCGGAAUUACUGGGCGUAAAGGGCUCGUAGGUGGCCAACUAAGUCAGACGUGAAAUCCCUCGGCUUAACCGGGGAACUGCGUCUGAUACUGGAUGGCUGGAGUAUGGGAGAGGAAUGCGGAAUUCCAGGUGUAGCGGUGAAACGCGUAGAUAUCUGGAGGAACACCGGUGGCGAAGGCGGCAUUCUGGACCAUUACUGACGCUGAGGAGCGAAAGCCAGGGGAGCAAACGGG